AUGAACGCUGGCGGCGUGCCCAAUACAUGCAAGUCGAGCGAACAGACGAGGAGCUUGCUCCUCUGACGUUAGCGGCGGACGGGUGAGUAACACGUGGAUAACCUACCUAUAAGACUGGGAUAACUUCGGGAAACCGGAGCUAAUACCGGAUAAUAUAUUGAACCGCAUGGUUCAAUAGUGAAAGACGGUUUUGCUGUCACUUAUAGAUGGAUCCGCGCCGCAUUAGCUAGUUGGUAAGGUAACGGCUUACCAAGGCAACGAUGCGUAGCCGACCUGAGAGGGUGAUCGGCCACACGGGAACUGAGACACGGUCCAGACUCCUACGGGAGGCAGCAGUAGGGAAUCUUCCGCAAUGGGCGAAAGCCUGACGGAGCAACGCCGCGUGAGUGAUGAAGGUCUUCGGAUCGUAAAACUCUGUUAUUAGGGAAGAACAAAUGUGUAAGUAACUAUGCACGUCUUGACGGUACCUAAUCAGAAAGCCACGGCUAACUACGUG
rnacentral:rRNA from 1 species